GAUGAACGCUAGCGGGAGGCUUAACACAUGCAAGUCGAGGGGCAGCACUAGGGUAGCAAUACUCUGAUGGCGACCGGCAAACGGGUGAGUAACGCGUAUGCAACCUACCCUGUACAGGGGGAUAACCCGGAGAAAUUCGGACUAAUAUCCCGUAAUAAUAUCCGGAGGCAUCUUUGGAUAUUUAAAGUUCCGACGGUACGGGAUGGGCAUGCGUAACACUUAGCUGGUUGGUAAGGUAACGGCUUACCAAGGCUAUGAUGUUUAGGGGUCCUGAGAGGGUGGUCCCCCACACUGGUACUGAGACACGGACCAGACUCCUACGGGAGGCAGCAGUGAGGAAUAUUGGUCAAUGGGCGCAAGCCUGAACCAGCCAUCCCGCGUGCAGGAAGACGGCCCUAUGGGUUGUAAACUGCUUUUCCAGGGAGAGAAACUUACGCACGUGUUGCGUGACUGACGGUACCCUGGGAAUAAGCAUCGGCUAACUCCGUGCCAGGCAGCCGCGGUAAACACGAGAGUA
rnacentral:rRNA from 1 species